CCCGGUUCGCCGGGACGAGAUGUGGUCUGGGUGACGGACGGUCGCCACGACUGAAUCGCAAG
rfam:halophilic archaeon J07HB67 genomic scaffold scf_7180000098878, whole genome shotgun sequence.